rnacentral:rRNA from 1 species
GACGAACGCUGGCGGCGUGCUUAACACAUGCAAGUCGAACGGAAAGGCCCUGCUUUUGUGGGGUGCUCGAGUGGCGAACGGGUGAGUAACACGUGAGUAACCUGCCCUUGACUUUGGGAUAACUUCAGGAAACUGGGGCUAAUACCGGAUAGGAGCUCCUGCUGCAUGGUGGGGGUUGGAAAGUUUCGGCGGUUGGGGAUGGACUCGCGGCUUAUCAGCUUGUUGGUGGGGUAGUGGCUUACCAAGGCUUUGACGGGUAGCAGCCUGAGAGGGUGACCGGCCACAUUGGGACUGAGAUACGGCCCAGACUCCUACGGGAGGCAGCAGUGGGGAAUAUUGCACAAUGGGCGGAAGCCUGAUGCAGCAACGCCGCGUGCGGGAUGACGGCCUUCGGGUUGUAAACCGCUUUCGCCUGUGACGAAGCGUGAGUGACGGUAAUGGGUAAAGAAGCACCGGCUAACUACGUG